UACGGAGGGUGCGAGCGUUGUUCGGAAUCACUGGGCGUAAAGCGCGUGUAGGCGGCCCUUUAAGUCCGUUGUGAAAGCCCGGGGCUCACCCCCGGAAGUGCAUUGGAUACUGAAGGGCUGGAGUACGGUAGGGGCAGAGGGAAUUUCCGGUGGAGCGGUGAAAUGCGUAGAGAUCGGAAAGAACACCAACGGCGAAAGCACUCUGCUGGGCCGACACUGACGCUGAGAGACGAAAGCUAGGGGAGCGAAUGGG
rnacentral:rRNA from 1 species